AAGGAGGGGAGCAGGGAGGAGCAACUCCUCCAACUACAUCUCCUUUAGGAGAGGAAAACCUCCUCCAACUACACCUCCUUCAGGAGGGGAGCAGGGAGGAGCAACUCCUCCUAGACCUCCUUCAGGAGAGGAGCAGGGAGGAGCAACUCCUCCUACACCUCCUUUAGGAGGGGAGCAGGGAGGAGCAACUCCUCCUACUACACCUCCUUCAGGAGGGGAGCAGGGAGGAGCACCUCCUCCAACUGCACCUCCUUCAGGAGAGGAGCAGGGAGGAGCACCUCCUC